UUCUCUCGUUCCAGUCGGAAGAGGAGAGAGCGGACAGGCUUUACUUUUUUUUCUCAGUUUUUUCCUUUUUAUUUUUUUGUUCCGGAUUGGAUCGAUCGACGAGUAUGGCUGUGAAAGUAGUCGAAAGCUCCGCGCCCGCGCGAAUUCGAGAGAAAGAGGCUUAUGAGAGUUGGACAUCACUGGCUGCUCCCAUAUUUGCUUCUCUUGUAGUCAUGGCUCCAUCAGCCUUGUGUUAUGACCCAAGCACAUAGCUGAUCAUGGGCCAGGCUUAGGCAUAGAAAAUGUCAAAUUUUACAUAGGCCCGGCCCAUAAUCUGCUUGACGGGCCAAACAGCAGGUGCACUGUGUUCUGAAGUGUCGCUUUGGCCCAAAGAUCUUCCCAAGUGGACAUUUAAGCAAAAAAAUUGUGCAUCAGCUUGGUUCCGACCACUAUCUCCGAACUCAUCAUGGGUGAGAGCCUUUCCCUCAAGAUUUCCUUCUCUAACACAAACAUGUUCAAGAGCGGCUCCAGAGAAUGCCCCUAUAGUCCCAACUCCUUUUCAAUUGAGCAAGAGCACCCUUAAUUCAUCAAUGCUAUCCUCCAUGCUGCACCCCUUUAUUACCUUCAUGUUGGUUUCUAUCUUCCCCAGACUUCGUAUACAGGGUUUUCCUUCAGUUAUCACCACCACUUUCUUCUUCGGAUCUGAAAAAUUGAUGUUAAGCUCCUUCUCUAAGAACUCAAACUUCUCACCAAUGUCCUGAUACAUACAGUGAUAUGAAAAUUUCAAGUUCAGAGUGAA